UAACCUUUGUCCUCUUAGCAAAGAGUAGUGUUUGUGAUUGCAAAUCAGGCUCCUAGCCAGCCUGGCUAUUUCAGAGGUAGAUCUAUGUUUCAUCCUGCUCACUGGAACACACAUAAUCUUUUAGAUUUUAGUGCUGUCUCAUUAAGGACGUAGAUUUUUGUGUUGUGUGUGAAUGUUAUUGUGUAUGGUACAGAGCUUAGAAGGAGGGAUGCUGUCACUUCUGCCUUGUUAAUUUCCUUUGUCCAUUUGUUCUUCCCAGUUUCCUUGACUUGCUGUAUAGUUUCUGCCAGCAAGUGAUUCAUUUAUUGAUGCUGAAGCAAUUACAGCAAGGUCUUCCUUUCUUAAAGAGACAAUCUCAGUUCUGUGCUUUCCCACACUGAAGCAUCGAUUCUAGACUUUCUGUUCAGGGAAUGUCUGUAUUAAAGCCAG